AGAGUUUGAUCCUGGCUCAGAACGAACGCUGGCGGCAAGCUUAACACAUGCAAGUCGAACGGACCGUAUACGCAGCUUGCUGCGUGUAUGGUUAGUGGCAGACGGGUGAGUAAUGCAUAGGAAUCUACCUAGUAGUAUGGGAUAGCCACUAGAAAUGGUGGGUAAUACUGUAUAAUCCCUGCGGGGGAAAGAUUUAUCGCUAUUAGAUGAGCCUAUGUCAGAUUAGCUAGUUGGUGGGGUAAUGGCCUACCAAGGCGGUGAUCUGUAGCUGGUCUGAGAGGAUGAUCAGCCACACUGGAACUGAGACACGGUCCAGACUCCUACGGGAGGCAGCAGUGGGGAAUAUUGGACAAUGGGCGCAAGCCUGAUCCAGCUAUGCCGCGUGRGKGAGGAAGGCCUUAGGGUUGUAAAACUCUUUCAGUAGGGAAGAUAAUGACGGUACCUACA
rnacentral:rRNA from 1 species